CUCUCAAUAGCUCAGUCAGCAGAGCAUGAGACUUAAUCUCAGGGUCGUGGGUUUGAGCCCCAUGUUGGGUAAAGA